GACAAAAACAGAAUAAUGCAAUUGUAAAGGGCGAUGUGUUGUCAUAGGUUUAACCGAAGACCUCAUUUAGACGUAUUGAUGGUAGCUAGACCAGAAGUCAGUAGACUAUCAGAUAAAUUUGCAAGAUCUAGUGGUUUGAGGCAUUCUAUAAUAGAUGAACGACUUAAUGAACACACAAGGGUUUCUUUAAAAAGAUCAAAG
rnacentral:lncRNA from 1 species